rnacentral:rRNA from 1 species
AGUGAACGCUGGCGGCGUGCUUAACACAUGCAAGUCGAACGAGAACGGAUUAUAGCUUGCUAUAAUUGUCAGCUAAGUGGCGCACGGGUGAGUAAUGUAUAGGUAAUAUGCCUCUUACUAAGGGAUAACAAAUGGAAACGUUUGCUAAUACCUUAUACUCCUUAUUAACAGAAGUUAAUAAGGGAAAGAUUUAUUGGUAAGAGAUUAGCCUGUAUUGUAUCAGUUAGUUGGUGGGGUAAUGGCUUACCAAGACUAUGACACAUAACUGGUUUGAGAGGAUGAUCAGUCACACUGAAACUGAGACACGGUCCGGACCCCUACGGGAGGCAGCAGUGGGGAAUAUUGCACAAUGGACGAAAGUCUGAUGCAGCAACGCCGCGUGGAGGAUGACACAUUUCGGUGCGUAAACUCCUUUUAUAUGAGAAGAUAAUGACGGUAUUAUAUGAAUAAGCACCGGCUAACUCCGUGCCAGCCGCCGCGGUAA